GGGCGCGUCGUCUAGCCUGAAUCUAAAGAUUCCUAGAAUGGUUAGGACAUCGCCUUGACAUGGCGAAGGUCCCCGGUUCAAAUCCGGGCGUGCCCA
rnacentral:tRNA from 1 species